rnacentral:rRNA from 1 species
AUUGAACGCUGGCGGCAGGCCUAACACAUGCAAGUCGAGCGGAUGAAGGGAGCUUGCUCCUGGAUUCAGCGGCGGACGGGUGAGUAAUGCCUAGGAAUCUGCCUGGCAGUGGGGGAUAACGUCCGGAAACGGGCGCUAAUACCGCAUACGUCCUGAGGGAGAAAGUGGGGGAUCUUCGGACCUCACGCUAUCAGAUGAGCCUAGGUCGGAUUAGCUAGUUGGUGGGGUAAAGGCCUACCAAGGCGACGAUCCGUAACUGGACUGAGAGGAUGAUCAGUCACACUAGAACUGAGACACGGUCCAGGCUCCUGCGAGAGGCAGCAGUGGGGAAUAUUGGACAAUGGGCGAAAGCCUGAUCCAGCCAUGCCGCGUGUGUGAAGGAGGUCUUCGGAUUGUAAAGCACUUUAAGUUGGGGGGAAGGGCAGUAAGUUAAUACCUUGCUGUUUUGACGGUACCAGCAGAAUAAGCACCGGCUAACUUCGUG